CACUUCAAUUCCAACUUUGAGGUGUCAUACUAUUCUCUCAGGUUUAGCAUCUCCUUUUUCUACACAUAUAUAUAAGUAUAUAUAUUUGCUGUAAAUGUCUUCUUUUUUGCAGCGCCUAAAAAGCGGUGCAAUUGUGGUCGACAACACCGCGGCACCCGACAACGCUGGCGUAGUUGUUCGCCGACUAGAGAAGAAGGUCUUGUCCCAGCCCAUAGAGCAGCUGGGGAUCACCUUUGGAAGUGAUGCAGAGGUGACAAGGGUUGCGCCUCACUCGCCAGCCGCCGCCGCUAACAUCCCGGUUGGCUUUAUGGUCUUUGACGUAAAUGGUGAUUUCGUAGAAAAUGAGCAGCAAUUCAUUGAGGCUGCGCGCAAGAGCAUUAACCUCACAAUAAAGCUUCAGAAUACAUCUGGCAUGUCAGAACUUAUCGCGCGAGUCUUAGAGGAUGAUGAUCGGCGUGCAAGUGGUGCGAUUUCAACCUCCGCUCUGGACUUCGAUGAGCUGCUGCGCACAACACCGCGCUUCAAUUUCCUUUCCGGUGACCACCCGCUUUUUCGCCGCUACAACAAGCGACUUUCUCAGCAGCGCCAAGCAGCGGCGCUGAUUGCUCAAAGAACUGCAGAGGCAGAGCUUCAGCGGCAAGCGGAAAUCAAGGAGCGCCUUAGAAAAGCUUUGGAGGAGGAAGCCGCUGUACAGAAGAAAAAAGAGCAGGAGAAAGCGGAGCUCCAGCGGAUGAGAGCGGCGCAGGAGCCGGCGCGGUUCGUGCCCGAAGAGCCUUUUCUGAAAAUUAUCAAGGAUGAGAGCUCUUUUGGUCAAGUGGAGCGGGAGCUCAAGAAACCCGAACCCGCUGCUGAACCGAAGGUAGAGAGCAAGGCAGAAGUUGCCACAUCAGAGGAUAUCACGAAUACUGCAACAGGGGCAUCGACGACGCUGUCAAACGACGUAGCUGCGACAAUAUCAGCAGAAGAGCUGCUGGUGCUUGUUGGUGUGCCUACCGAAACUAUGGAAACGACAACACCUGCCUUAGAGGACCUUGCCGAGGCUAUUGCGCUGCACCCAUCAGGAAAUACAACCACUUACGUGGCCCUCCCGGCCGAGGAGUACACGCUCUGUUCUGGUGAGCGGGUAGUUAGUAUUAUAAAGAAACGCUCUGGCCCGAUUCCCGCACCACCGCCUGGAAAGCCACCUGUGAUCAACAAAGCUGCCGCCAGCCGUCUCAAUGAACCGGCCAAAAGAGUAAAACCUGUUGAGAAAAUGGUGCGCAAUCGCACCCCUUCCAAUGAACAGCCGUACAAGAGUCGGCACCGCUCGCGAUCACCGCGCUCGCGACGGAGGAGCGAGAGGGACCACUCGUCGAAAGAGCGUUCACGACGCCAUCGGCGUGAUGAGCCGUCCACACAUCGGCAUCACAAAAACUCGCGCGACUCAAAGCAUCGGCGCUAGGAUUCCUUCUCUUGGGGGCUCUUGGUGGUCUGCAGUUUAGAGACAUGGAUUUGUCGAGCAGUGCGCUGUGCAGAGGGAUGGCCUCUCCAGAAUCUCUUUUGCUUUUGGUACGAAAAGUGUGGGACGCUUCGUUAGCUAGUUUUCCUGUAUUGUGGAAACGCGCUUUAGCGCGCCGGAUAUUUGUGGCCUGUGGCACAACUACCACUAUAUAUACCUAUGUCUUGUCGAUAUCAGUCAAUAGGCAGUGUGAAGGGAAUAACCGCGCAGGGUUGAAUGCUCUCUUCUGAACGGUGGUGCACUUCUCAUAGUUCUUAAUUAUCAACUUUUUUUUUACGUGCGGGGUAGGUGUUGUCUGUACGUUUUGAUUCACGUUGUAAUAUAUAUAUAUAUAUAUAUAUGAUGUCUUUCUAUUAUCGGCGCUGCAGCUCCUUGCUUUCUUAAAGCACGAUUAAACGAGUAACGAUUAAAUGUAGUCUGUGGUGCGGUGUCUCAUCUGCGGAAACUGCUCUUUUCUCCUGGUUUGCGAAAAGCACCUUAUUGGCCUCUCUGGGAGUUAUCCGCCGAUCAC
rnacentral:misc_RNA from 1 species